ensembl:lncRNA
ACUGCUUUUGGGCUUUAUUUAAUUCUCCCCCAUCUACAAAUGGCAGAAUAUUACCAAAUUUCUUCUUAGCAAUACUGUGUUAAGCAUAACAUUUAUUAAUUUUUGCUACUUUCCAUAGACAAUGCUUUGGACUAAGUAAUAUAUAUUGUAGUUACCACACAUAUUACCACUUAAAAAUUCAUAUACAGCAAACAGAACAGACACUAAUCUCAAACGUGCCAGUAUAAAAUCUUUGCAAACAAUAUCUUGUGUUUUUCUGGUAUUUUUCAGCUUUUCAUUUCACAUCUGUUAUAGCAGAAAGUGGAAUCUGGCCCAAGGAAUACUUCUAAUAAAUCCUUUCCUUUAUUAGUAGAAACAAUGUUAUUCACCAUACAGCAUAUGUUCCUCUAAUUACGUUUUUGAGUAAAAGUAUUAAUGACAUUUUGGCCAUGUAUAUAGUUACCCUUCUCAGAGUAAGAUUGGGGAUUCUGACACAUUUUCAUUACAUAAUGGUCAGAAAUAAUUAAAAGUUUGGGAUUUCAAUAUCUUUUAUUUGCAGUAAAAUAGAAGCCAAAAUACAGCCCUUCCAAUGAUUUUGAGCAGUACUUAGCUACUCAAAAUCAUUUUUAUGAUCUUACAACAUUCUAACAUUAUGUAGACUUUUGAAGAAUCUAUUUUCCAAUGGUGCACCUUUAUCAGGAUAUGUUAGAAUGGAAUUUUAAAUGUUCACCUCUGUUUAUCCUUGUAAUUCUGAAAUAAACCCUUAAAGCAUGGAGAAGUAAAAUGGGAUGGCAAUUUGAAAAAGAAAGUAUCACUGGUUUUGAGGGAGAAGUAAAUUUUGUAAUCUGGUCAUAGUCAACAGUGUCUUUGCAAAUUCUUUCAUGACUAAAGCAAGGUAUUGAAAAAGGAAAUGUUCCUAAUUAUUUCUAUGUUUCUUCUGAAAAUUCCUAGCCAAUCAACAUGGCUUUCUAGAGUCAAUCAAGCAACUACCAAGAUAUUCUAUGAAAAUUGCACACAUGGAUCAUAAUAUAAACUUGGAUUAGUAUUAUUCUAGUAAUGAAAAUAAAUAGGCCAUACUAAAAACAAGUAAAAAGUAAAAAUUCCUUAUUUCCUUAAACCAUCUGAGACCUGUAUUGUCCUCCUUACCUGCUUUUGUAUUACACCCUCUGAACAACCAGAGAGAAUAAUGUCACCCAUACUUCCUUUUAGUGCUUUGUACUUAGCAUAUGUGGAAAGUACUGACUUUCAAGUCCUUAAAAAUGAAAUCUAUUUGUUUGUGGGUCAGGUAAACACAAAUGCUUCUGGAAUUAACACGUGAUAAAAGCUGCGUCAUGGAAGUUUUGCACUUGUCUUACAAAGGUUAGAAACACUCAUUGCCCUGUGUCUUUCAAGUAUGCUUCCAACUAACCCUGAAAAACACAGUAAAAGCCAAACCCUUUUUAAAUGCUUUCUGGAAAAAUAAAUUUGCUUAAACACAAGCAUUAACACUUCUAGGUGAAAAGAUAGUGACCCACAAAUAGGAUCACUGCUGAUUAAACCAGUGAGACCCACUUAUAAUCAGAAUUCUCAUCCACUAGGAAGAGGAGGAAUUAAGUUCAUACAGACUAGUAAAAAAAUAGCUUCUGACUUUUACCAGUGUGGGUGGGAUGUGAAUGUGAUCAAUAGCACAUUUUAUCACAAAUAACCUAAUUAUUUAAUUUCAUUAAACAAGCUCAAUUUUCUGCUACAGCCUAACCCUUGAAUUAUCUUCUCUUUAAAGCAGGAUGCCUUUCAAUUUUCUUUGAAAGCCAGACUUGUCCUGCUGCCAGGAUGAGUGAGGGAAGAGGCUCCUGGAGAAUAUCACAGGUUUUGUGUGACCAGGAGGUUAGAUCCAUGCUCUCUCUUUUUUAAGCAAGGAGAGGGAGAAUGAUGGAGGUGUGCUGACCUGCAGCAGCCAAAACAACCUCCAGUGUUUGAAGCUGCCUUUCUGAAGCUCUCCCACACUGCUGUGUUGCAGUUCAGUCCUUACAACAUCUCAGAAUGUAUGUUACAGUGGAGACACCAGGCUCUAUAAAUGAAGAUUUCAGGUGCAUUUCUUACGUUUCCUUACAAUCCAUGCUGGGUAGGGAGGAGAGAGCAGAAUUCAGCAAUCAUUAUCACCCAAGGACUUGACUUUAUUCUCCCAGUAUCAUUUAUAGCCACAGCUUCCUUCCUUCAGCAAUUUGGAAAACGUGUUCAAAGCCACAAAAGUAAACAAUACUGAUGGUAAGUUCGUUUUUGGGAGGCCAUACUGCAAAUUGCUGAAGAUGAGAACUGCACCAAUAAAAAUCCCUAGGUAUAUUAAAGAACAAAUUAAAUACUCAGGUCAUGCAUUCCAGUUUGGUAAAGUUCAAACAUAUGAAUUUUUAUAUCUCUGAACAUUAAGUCCAACACCUUGAGCUGUUAGAAAGUUAUUCUUGCAGACUAAGCCUGCCUUGAUCCUAGAAGUGCAAAGUGACAACCUGUCAGUAAAAUCAUCUUAAGUAUGGUGGAUUUUGAGAAAAUGAAAGAAAAGGUAAGAAUUUUCUUUUGUGCUCAGCAUAAAAGCUUUCAAGAAAAUGAAAAUACAUGACUUGAAAUAUUUUCUUGUUAAAGUAUUAUUGCACACCAGCCAAUAUUUCCUUGAAAAAAUAACCAUUGCUACCCAGAAUAGCAAAGUACAUCUUCAUUACUAUAAAAGAGGCACGUCUCCAGGCUGUCAUGAAAAAUGCUGUCCUGAUUUUAAAAUGAAAAUGGUCUUGUUAGUGGAAUAUCUGAAGAAAGUUAUAAAACAACCAUAUGAAUUAGAAAGUAUUAUUCUUCAGCUCACAACUCAUGCUGUAAAAUCAAAAUGGUAAUUUAAAAUAAAAAAAAAAAAAAAAGGUAUCUAUAGUCUUGAGAAGCUCAACUUCAUCCAAAAAACACAGUGAGGAUUCCUGUAUUUCCAAGCUUUUUAUUACUAAUGGGUAAGGCCAGAUUGGUAGACCUGUUUUUAGAAUCGGAAACAAACUUGACCUAAUUCUUUUAGAAGUUGAAAUAAAAUAAAGGUGUUGCCCUGAAAUAAAAUAAAGGUGUUACCCCAAGAUUAACUGAAGGUCAAUGCUUCUAAUGGCUCAAACAGCAGCUCUUUCAUCAAUCCUGAUUAUUCAUAUGGGGAGAGGAAAAAAAUUAAAACCCCCAUUAGAACCCCAACUUUCUUUUCUCCUGUUUUUAUGUUCUUACCCUAAAAUUCUGACUCAUCUAUUGACUUUAGGGAGAGUGGGAUCAAGCCUUGAAUGAAUAAAAACACUCAGUGGACAUGGAGGGAAUUAUGUGUGAAUCUGAAACUAAACUUCUGUAAGAUACUUCUGUUUUAGUGCAUCUGAAACAAUCAAAUGUUGCUGCUGAAAUCUCAGGAAUGCAACUACAGUAUUAACUGAAGUCCCAAUAAUAAUGACAUAGUUUCAACACAAUUCAUAAUUUUCAUCAUAAACACAGCAGCAAAUGAAUGAAACACAUCCAGUCCCGUGCCUGUUGCUGAUCUACGAGUUCAGGUAACACAAAUGAGCCCAGCUACCAGAGUUUCUUUCACAUACUGGAUAAAAUGGAAAUAGUCAAAUGUCCAGGGCCUCCUGACUGGUGCAGGUGAUGUUAUUCCCUGAAGUGAUGCUGCCAUCUUGUGAGGGAAAGGCUUAAAUCCACUUUUAUUUUCAUUCCUGAGAUGUAUCCACAGCGAAUGAAGAUCCGGAACACACAGGUCAGGAAUUGUCAGGGAUGGGAGCUGCACAUUUGCUCUCCCUCUCCAAAACCAGCUCUUUGGACACAGAGUGGAGAGGACAAGCAACACUGUCCAGGAAUUAAGAAUUCUUCAAAGCAAGCUCACCCUGGGUCGAGCAGAACAUUCAAAUUGCAGUGGGACAUUCAAAACUAAGGGAACUUGCAUUUCAGGUGGAAAUGAAAGCAAAGGAACCACAGGCAGUUCAUGCUAAAAGUUGGUGAACUCCUCUUCCUUUCUUCUAAAUUCCACUAUGAAGCUGGUACUUUGUGCUGCUAGAUUGGGAAACCCAAGCAAAUCUUAAAAAAUGCAUUUUGCAUAGCCAGAUAUUACACCCAUCCAGCAGUCCUUGACAUUAGGGAUUCAGGGAUAGGGUACAGCUAAAGGGAACAAAGUAAUUUCUUGAGUUUUUCACCAAAUAAAACACCAUUGUUCUUCUAAUUCUUAUACAAUAUCUUAAAUUUUUCUAAAUCUCUGUAUUCUAAUUCUCCAUAUUCUCAUCCUAAUGCACACACACCAGAUUUCAAUACAAGAACUAGGAGCACCUACAGUUGGAUUGAAUUUAAAAGCAUGGGCUAAAGAAACACUGACUGCUAUUAAAUCUAGAGUGAAAUUUUCCAACAACUUUUACAGCUGGAAGUGCCACUUCAAGUGUUGCAUGCACUCAGCAUGAAUCUAUUUUGAAAAAGAAAUAAAGUAGCUUCAAUAUGAUCAAAAUAUUCUGACUUCCUAUUUGUGAAUGGAGUAUUUUCAGGGAAAUAGAAAUAGAAAAUAGAAAAAAAUAGAAAUAGAAAAUCUUCUAUUUCCACAUUUAUAAUAGAUAAUGCAGAAAAUACAAUUUUAUGUUUCAUUUCUUGAAAGGAACUAGAAAAUGUAUGGUAUUGUAGAAACCAUACACCAUAGAGUCUAUGCACAUUCAGUUUUCACAUGGAAUUACAGAGAAAUGUCCUAAAAUUAAUUUUAUUAGCAUGCCUAAAGGUUUACUGUUGCUAGGAAAAAAAAAUCACCUGCUCUUCUUGGCUGCAAAAUCCUUAUCUUCCUGCAAACCCUCACAGAAACAGCUUCCUGUUAUUUGGGUUUAGAGUUGUAGCUAUAAACAGUGACCUCUCUGCUCUCCCAAUAUACAAAUUUGUUAUGUUACAAGAAGUUAUUUCAAUAAUCCCUCACAGGUGUUACUGAAAUGAAUCUGUUAUUUUGCAGUUGGAGCAGCUGGUGAGGAGACAGUGCCCACCACUGCUGUUAGAUUUUAUUCUUGCUCUGUCACAGUCUGUUACAGCUCUGGGUCCUCAUUUAUUCCUUUGGAAAAAGAGUAUAAACCACCAUGGUGCCCUGUCUUUGAACAGCACAGCUAUGCACACAAAAGUCAAAUCCUUGGUAUCUCUGAAAGAAAGGACUACAGCCUCAAUUAUCAGACGUUUUGGCACUUACCGGGUGCAAACGAUGUGUAAUGUAUUCAUUAGCUUGCAUCACCACCCCAGCAUGCAUGGUGUGAGCCAAGAACACCUUUUUUCUCUUGGCCUGCUCCUUCAGAAGCACUGGCAGAAGAGGGGAAGUUCUACCCUAGGCUUUCCAAAGAACAAACUGUAAACCAGACAAUCUGGCCCUAUAUAAUUAUAAAAUGUUUUUGUUGCUUGACUUCACAGCAAGAUCUGCUCUUUGUAAUUACUUGGAAGUGCACAGAGUCCAGAGAUAUAUUCUACUGCCUCCUCUGUAAAACACGUUGCCUUUUAUUCAUGACAACAAUGGCCCUGAAUUUUAUUUUUAAUUCAAUAUACUUAGUGAGUCUGGAGUCUCUAAACUCUAUAUUCAGCCUAAAAUAAACUGUGUUAAUCAGAGAUUAGAAUAUGUUUUAUUUUUCCUCCAUCUGCAAAACUGUUGUGGACUUGUGGGCAACAGCUUCUGAAUCCUUUGAUCCUCCACACAUCAAUGUUAAUUCCUGCAAAUAUGAAUGUUUCUGGCCUGAGAGAGGAGCAGGUAAGGUGAAAGGAUGAUGCAAUCCACAUUUACAAGCAAAACCUGCUCACUGUAUUUCCUGGUACUGGUUACCCAGCUGAAAAAUUGAACUUUUUAACUUGCUGGAGUCUGAGAACUCUUUGAAAAAUGCACUCAGGAGAUGUACC